AAACAGUGGUUAUUCCCACAGGUGGGCGUCUGGCCAAUCCCGAUCCACAGGGAUGCUUUCCUUCCUUCCAAGAUCUUAGGUACCAAGGGCCAUGCAAUUCUGAAGCCACGCACGUCUGUCUUUAUGGCUAAUUGGGGAGAGACUGCCUCCAAUGGAAACAAUACAGAGAAAAAGAAAGGAGACAGAAAAGGAGAGAGAAAAACCUGACAUUACUGUCUAAAUCCCUGGACCUUUAACUCGUAGACCCAAAGGACUUGGCCAGGGAGUCCAGACAUCCGCCCCCACCCCGCCUUUUUCAACGGACGCCAGUUUGAGCUGGUGAUUCUGUCGCUCCGAACAGCAAGAUUCCUGGUUACUAUGCGUUCCUUCCAACGGCUGCGGAGGCAUCAUCAACUUCACAACUCUGCUGAGGACCCCGGCAGUGAGGAAAAAGAGGCCAGGUACGCGGACUCAGGCGCCUGACCCAGUCCAGCCUUGCCCAGCUCAGUUAGUGCUACACGCGAAGUUGCCGCCCCCCUGCUUCUCGAAGCCAUGUGAGCUGCCGAAUGGCUCUCCUUAAAAGGGCACCCCUAUUUGCCUCGCUGGGGAUGCCAUUUCCUCCCGGGGUCACUCCUCCUCCACAAUGCCUCCAUCCUUCAGGUGGUGGGGGGUGAGAGGCCAGGGUGCCGCCGUCAUGUGCUCUGGGGACUAUGGCAGGACGCACAACCGCAAGCUCAUCUAUUCAGGUAGAUCUGACUCCGCCAGUUCUGCAGAAACCAAUGGUUUCUACCAGACUCACCCCAGGAGGCGUACGCUGAGUUACCUGGGAAUUACCUCUCUGCCAGAACAUCCUCCCAGAACCGUCUCAUUGAACAGUAUGCUACAAAGAUCGUGCAACAUCCUUCAUCAUAUUAAGACAAGUUUUGACUUGUCCCCACUUAACAUGUGAUGGAAAGCUGGUGGAUUUACCUUAAAUUAUUUAUGAAACAGAGAACAAAAAACAUGAGUUGGUUUCAGGACAGAGUUUUACUAUAUGUUGCAAGGCAUAAAAAAAAAAAGACAAAACAACCUCCCUUUAUGAGCUGAUGUUUAGAAUGCUAAAUUUUGUGCUGAUUUUUUUUUAAACAUAUAAUUGUUGUUCUAAAUGACAAGAUGUAAGAAAAGAUUUCCGGAUGAUAUUUGCAAGCACAUCUCUCUGCAAAUAACACAUUGCAGGUGUGGAGAGUCAUUACUCCCAAUAAAUGCAAAGCAAAAUUGU